AUUGAACGCUGGCGGCAGGCUUAACACAUGCAAGUCGAGCGGGGGAAGGUAGCUUGCUACUGGACCUAGCGGCGGACGGGUGAGUAAUGCUUAGGAAUCUGCCAAUUAGUGGGGGACAACAUCUCGAAAGGGAUGCUAAUACCGCAUACGUCCUACGGGAGAAAGCAGGGGAUCUUCGGACCUUGCGCUAAUAGAUGAGCCUAAGACGGAUUAGCUGGUUGGUGGGGUAAAGGCCUGCCAAGGCGACGAUCUGUAGCGGGUAUGAGAGGAUGAUCCGCCACACUGGGACUGAGACACGGCCCAGACUCCUACGGGAGGCAGCAGUGGGGAAUAUUGGACAAUGGGGGGAACCCUGAUCCAGCCAUGCCGCGUGUGUGAAGAAGGCCUUAUGGUUGUAAAGCACUUUAAGCGAGGAGGAGGCUACUCUAGUUAAUACCUAGGGAUAGUGGACGUUACUCGCAGAAUAAGCACCGGCUAACUCUGUGCCAGCAGCCGCCGUAA
rnacentral:rRNA from 1 species